UGUCUUAAAUAUACUAUAUAUACAAUAAUACAUUUGUGAUUGUAAUUUUCUAUUGACUUGAUUUGUAUUUAAAGCAGUAAAAAGUGGUUGUACUGUAUUUCAUUUCUUUAGAUAGAUUCUGAGCAUUAAGCAUUUACAAUCUUUGUAAUCAUUCUAAGCAGCCAUCUUUCUUCAUAACUUUUUUAAUAGAAAUCUUUUCGACACCUCUAGAAAUCUCAACUGUGGCGUUUGACAUCUUGUUCCUACCCCACUUACGAUGUGUUUUUACACGUAUCACCUGUGGUGUGCAUCAGGAGUGGAGCGGUACAUAUAUUCGUAUUGAACCAAUUUGGUACAAGGGUCACGGUUUUGGUGCACGCAUUUACACAGAAAAUACACUGCAAAGCGGAACUAUUGUUAGAUACGCAUGUUCUUUGGGGACACAUAAUAUGUGACGCGCGUCCUAUUCGCUUUGGACUAAUGUCAAACUAGACGCAAAUUUUAAGCAUUUCUUUGUUUGCGUUGAUUACAAUGCUGGAGUGUGUGUGUGCUCGCACGCGCGGUAGAGAGAGAAAGAUAUAGUGUGUUCACUGUAGCACAAGAGAGAUCGAGACAGAGAAGCAAUUUGUCCUCGAGUGUCACAAAUACAGUUCAGUAAGAGACCUUUACUUCAACUAAAUCACCAACGUUAUACUGUAUGCCACAGCCUGAGAGACAGCAGAAAUUCCCACCUUAGUGCAGUGUGUCAAGGAACUAAUAUCCUCAGUGAACAGAGGGAUCGAUACAGCAAGCACAAGCUCAGGGUCCUCCAGCUCAGCCCAAGAGAUGAUUUCUCUGGGCAACAUGGCUGUCCAAGUCAACAAAACCUGCUUUAGGAGAUUGAAUAGGAGCAGAAUGUCCCUGUUCACUCAAGAGUUAGCUGUUUUGUUGUUUGGGAGGGAGGUUCUGGGUUCAUCUAGCCUCACUGGGAAUAGGUCCCAAAAAGAAAGGCUGAACCCAGAAAAAAUGAAUGCACUUAUCGACACUGUCAUAUCUGAGUUUCGGGCACGUCACAGUCCGAGGUUAGAGCCGUAAUACGGCGAAAGUGCAAUAACGAAAGUUUUGUUUCAAAAAAAAAAAACACUGUAAAGGUAAUUUUUUGUUGUUGUUGGGAAAGGAAUGUGAAAGUAAAGAAGAAAUUUGUGUUUUGUUCAUAUAAGAUACGUACAGUAAUCUGUAGUUUAAUCAUUUUAUUAAAGGGUUAGUUCACCCAAAAAUCGAAAAGUUCUUUGUAUUUAGUCACCCGCGUGUUGUUCUAAACCCUUAAGACUUCCAUUAACCAUCGCAUCACAAAAUAUUAUAUUUAUGAUGGAAUCUGAGCGCUGGAUAAGUCUUCCAUUGACUUCCAAGGGGCUUAAACUUGCUCGAUCAGAAAUCGUAUUAAGACAUUGUUUGAAAUUGUCUAAGUGACUCCAGUGGCUCAACCAUCCAUUUAUCAAGCGACGAGAAUAGUUUUU
ensembl:lncRNA